AGGCAGCCUACUUGCCAUGAUUCAAUGGCAUGAAAGGUGUUUAACUGCUCGUAAAUCAAAUGCUUUUGCUCUUCAGACUUGCUGAGAUUUUCUUUGAAGCUGGUCUAGUAAGCUCUAGUACAUU